rnacentral:piRNA from 1 species
UNGUGUAGCAUACGUGUUUGCCUGGACAUUU